rnacentral:rRNA from 1 species
CGGAGGGUGCAAGCGUUAUCCGGAAUCAUUGGGUUUAAAGGGUCCGCAGGCGGAAGUAUAAGUCAGUGGUGAAAGCCUACAGCUCAACUGUAGAACUGCCAUUGAUACUGUACUUCUUGAAUUUGGUCGAAGUGGGCGGAAUAUGACAUGUAGCGGUGAAAUGCUUAGAUAUGUCAUAGAACACCGAUAGCGAAGGCAGCUCACUAGUCCAGUAUUGACGCUCAUGGACGAAAGCGUGGGGAGCAAACAGGAUUAGAUACCCUGGUAGUCCACGCCGUAAACUAUCAAUACUCGAUUUCAGCGAUAUACUGUUGGAGACUAAGCGAAAGUGAUAAGUAUUGCACCUGGGAGUACGAUCGCAAGGUUG